rnacentral:rRNA from 1 species
UACGUAGGGGGCAAGCGUUGUCCGGAAUCAUUGGGCGUAAAGCGCGUGUAGGCGGCUCGGUAAGUCCGCUCUGAAAGUCCGGGGCUCAACCCCGGGAGGCGGGUGGAUACUGUCGAGCUAGAGUCCGGAAGAGGCGAGUGGAAUUCCUGGUGUAGCGGUGAAAUGCGUAGAUAUCAGGAGGAACACCGGUGGUGUAGACGGCUUUCUGGACCGUAACUGACGCUGAGACACGAAAGCGUGGGUAGCAAACAGG